rnacentral:tRNA from 1 species
GGGUCAUUAGCUCAAUUGGUAGAGCAGUGGACUCUUAAUCCAUUGGCUCCAGGUUCNNGGUUCGAGUCCUGGAUGACCCA